GAUCCGUAAUCCGGGUUGCGGACAGUGUCUGGUGGGUAGUUUGACUGGGGCGGUCUCCUCCUAAAGAGUAACGGAGGAGCACGAAGGUUGGCUAAUCCUGGUCGGACAUCAGGAGGUUAGUGCAAUGGCAUAAGCCAGCUUGACUGCGAGCGUGACGGCGCGAGCAGGUGCGAAAGCAGGUCAUAGUGAUCCGGUGGUUCUGAAUGGAAGGGCCAUCGCUCAACGGAUAAAAGGUACUCCGGGGAUAACAGGCUGAUACCGCCCAAGAGUUCAUAUCGACGGCGGUGUUUGGCACCUCGAUGUCGGCUCAUCACAUCCUGGGGCUGAAGUAGGUCCCAAGGGUAUGGCUGUUCGCCAUUUAAAGUGGUACGCGAGCUGGGUUUAGAACGUCGUGAGACAGUUCGGUCCCUAUCUGCCGUGGGCGCUGGAGAACUGAGGGGGGCUGCUCCUAGUACGAGAGGACCGGAGUGGACGCAUCACUGGUGUUCGGGUUGUCAUGCCAAUGGCACUGCCCGGUAGCUAAAUGCGGAAGAGAUAAGUGCUGAAAGCAUCUAAGCACGAAACUUGCCCCGAGAUGAGUUCUCCCUGAGACUUUAAGUCUCCUGAAGGAACGUUGAAGACGACGACGUUGAUAGGCCGGGUGUGUAAGCGCAGCGAUGCGUUGAGCUAACCGGUACUAAUGAACCGUGAGGCUUAACCUU
rnacentral:rRNA from 1 species